CCAAGGGCUCUUUUAAGAGCCACCCACCUCAUCUGGAAAAGAGCUG
rfam:Alligator mississippiensis ScZkoYb_5, whole genome shotgun sequence.